rnacentral:lncRNA from 1 species
AAAGCCCGAAUUCUUGGCCAAAACCCCCAAAACCGAAAGUUAUCAUCCGAGGUAAAGCUUCACAUAUUUGUCAAUAGAUAGCAUUAGAGCUUUGAAAUCCAAAAGGGCAGAUGUUCAUAUUCAUUCCAUGGCCUGUGGUAAACCCUCGAAAGUGACCAUUGUCGAGACUCGCGCGGGACUGUGGUGUGUGCACGCUUUCGAGCGCGCGAAAAAAAAGGCUGUAGUUUUUUCAAUUUUCAUCAAAAUCGAGUCAACCAAAAUGGAUAUUAUUCCUCAAGAGAAUUAGUUAUGAUCCCCGGAGAUCCUGCGGAGAUCUCAACGAUUCCUAGUGUGAAAAAGUAUAGAGAAUGUGAAACCGUUGGCAUCGCCUGCUCGUUUUUGCUCCAUUGGUCAAAAAUACGCAUUCUUUGAAGCAGUGUUUUGUCGACUCGGUCGGAGCCUCGUGGCCCGCCUCGUGGGAUUAGUGUAGCGGGGUAACGCAGACAACGUCAUUCAUCGAAACGACGUCGAUGAUGAGAAUUCAGAUAGCGAUUAGAAUUCGGGCUUUUGGACCACUGUGC